AUCCAUAAGGAACUUUGAUCUUGAUCCACUCACCUCUCAAACCUCCAUUUCAUCAGAUAAAGCUUGAAGCAAGAGAUUGAAAAAAUGAGGAAUUUACAUACAACUAUGGACAGUAAUACUAAUGCCUCCCUCCAACUUGAGUCAGAGGCAUCUUCAGAGCUCAAAUCAGAAACUCAAACAUCCAAGAAAAGGAAAAUGGUUCAGAAAACAGUUGUGGCAGUGAGGAUAGGAGAGAAUGUUAGCAAGCUGAAGAAUGAAGGGUUACCUUCUGAUUUUUGGUCUUGGAGAAAAUAUGGACAAAAGCCAAUCAAAGGGUCUCCAUAUCCAAGGGGUUAUUACAGGUGCAGCACAUCCAAAGGUUGUUCAGCCAAAAAGCAAGUAGAGAGAUGCAAGACAGAUUCUUCAAUGCUCAUCAUUACCUACACCUCUACACAUAACCAUCCAGGCCCAACUACAAUUACCACCACAAAUUCACCACCCCAACAACCAAAUGAAACCGAAAAUACCGAAGAUCUCUCAGCUACAUCAAAGGAGGAUGACCAAGAACAUAUAGAAGAACAAACAAAUAAUAAUCAUAAGCCUACUCUUAUGAUCAAUGAUGAGGGUACAAGUGAAGAAAAUUUUCAUUACUUGCAAUCUCCAAUUCCCGAAUACAUCAUUGUAGAUCAAGAAGAUCCUUUCAAACUAAACAUGGAGAAAAGCCAUGAAAGCAUAGAUAUCCUCUUAGAGGAAGAGCCCUUUUGUUACCCACAGUUGAAGAGCUUUUCUACUUCCAAAUCAGAAGAACUUGACUUUUUCGAUGAGCUUGAGGAGUUACCCAUGUCUUCAUCUUUCUUACACUUUACGAGGAGCGUUUUUUCUGAUGAAAGGAUUCCCGUUGCCCCUUCUUGAUUCAAGUGUUUUCUUGGUGCUUGCUUGCUAGUUAGUACGGUGGAGAUCUUCUGUAAAGAAUAGUGAUUGAAGCACGUGGGGAUGGAGAAGGCAAAGAGAAGAAUGAAGAUGGAGGAGUGGAGGUUAUUGUCAUUUACUUCUACUAAAAGAAAGCACGAGUUGCCUGUGAGGCUGUGCCAAACCAUUUUUGGCAGUACUCAAACAGUGAUGGAGAUCAUCCAAAAGUUGAGAGUUCCGUCACACAAGGGGUAUGUUUCUAAAAUAUGAUGAAUUUUAAAAUACAAUAUGACUAAAAUAUAAUAUAUAAAAUUAAUAAUCAUAACCUCAAAAUAUUUUUUUAAAUUAUAAUAAAGGCAUUAAUAAUUCAUAUAUUAACUAUACAUAACAAAAUGUCAUAUAUUUAAUUACUAUAAUAUCGUGUUUGAUAAUAAAUAUUAAUAGGUUUAAGUAUGUCCGACAAAAAAUAUGGCUUUUAUUUCAAUUUUUAUAAAAGUUUUAUUCCAUUUUUUUUUGCUAUUAGUUUUAUUCCAUUUUAAUUCUUGCACUGAAUCAAAAUUAUAUAAAUUUAAUUUUUACUUAGGGACUAAAAAUUAUAAUUUUUAAGAACGAUAACAAAUAAAAAUUUCAUAGAUACUGAAAUUUAAAAAAUGCACUUUUUAUAGAUUAAAAAUGUUUAAAUUGUUAAUCAUUCAAAUUAAAAGGUAUAAUAAAAUGUUUCUAAAAAUAUAAGUAUCAAAUAUUGUUCGCCGACGUGCAGUCAUUUUAAAUUAUAAGGGCUUCUUGUUCAUUAGUGGUUAUGUAAAACAUUGCUGCACUCAUUAUUCUACAUUUUAUUUUCAAUAAUGGUAACCUUGUUUUUCUUGAUUAAAUUAUGCUUGUUUUUAUGCUAGCCUAUAAGUAAAUAGUUUUAUGAUUUAUCUUUGUUGCAUGAUUGAUUGUUUGAUGCAUCGGAAUUUUUUUUAAAGUGGGUAGACGUAAGUAAUCCAACCUAAUCCUUUUCUCAUAUUUUAUUAUUCUACCCCCUAACUUUAAGAACCGAUUAUAUGAACAGGGACCAAAGAGGUCACAAUUGCCCGGUGUCGUUUUCAUUAUUAUUGUUAUGAGAAUCCAAAUGCAGGGAUUUUAUCCAAUAACUGGGAAUCCAAAUCCCAAAACAAACACGUACCCGGGUGUAUUCGACCUGUGCAUACACAUAUACAAUCAUACAGACGUGAGAACAUCACAGUGAAAGAUUGAGGAUUUAGAUUUUUUCCUAGUUAAAAUCACGAAGAAGUUAGCUGUUAAUGUUAUCCUAAAACUACCCUCAAAUCACUGGGCGCCACCCAAAAUGUUUUAUAACAAAAUAAAGUUAGACUCAAAAACCCAGAAGAUCGUUCUUAUUUAACACUAUGCUUUAAUAAUUUUACCCGGCAAUGAAGCAAUAGUCUCAAGUUCAAACGCUAGCUAGAUCUUUACCCUCUGCUGCAGCAGGCAAUGGCUGGAGAGCUUUGAGAGGAUUCAUAAUGACACAGUCGAUGAGUCCAUAUUCUUUGGCUUCUUUUGCACUCAUGAAAAAAUCACGGUCUGUAUCCUGGUUGAUCUUUUCUAAACUUUGGCCAGUGUGAUAGGAUAGAUAUCCAUUCAGGUUUGCCUUAUGAUGCAGCAUUUCAUUUGCCUGAGGAGGAUCAUGACUGAAUUAGUUUAUCUAAUAACUUAUAAUACUUUAAAAGCAAUGGAACUAGCAAAUCCAUCAGGUCCUCCUUGGGUAAAGAAAUGGAUGGUAUCGCUGCUAAAUAGUAAGAUGCCCAAAACAACGAGGAAUUCAGACCAACCAAAAUUCUACUAAAACAAAAACAAAAUAAUGGUAAGGACCGGACAAGAAAAGCAAUUUAAGGAUUUUGGGCUUCUUUUACUGUCUUUAUAUUCCAAUAUACAAAAACUAAUUUUAUAUUGGAUUGGAUUAAUUUAUCUGACCACUGAAAGAUUGAAUUGCUUAGAUGAUGCUUUUUACGAGUUGCUUAGGUUGAUUAAUUGGCAAAAAUGCAAAAAAAUGCAUAAAAAAAAAAUAUAAGCAUAUAAACUAGAUGAUAGUCAAGCCUAGAUAUAGGAGCAAACAACAGGUUUAUGCAAUAGAAGGUGGAAAAUGAAACGUGUACCUGAAUAUCUAUGUCACUUUGUGCUCCUUGAGCUCCACCAAGGGGUUGGUGAAUCAUUAUCCUUGAAUUUGGUAAGCUGUAUCGCUUUCCUUCAGAAGUGAGGAAGGAUAUAAAGUUAGAAGGAGCAUUUUUCUUUUAUGAAAACAAUAACAACAAUCAAGUCUUAUCUCACCAUGUGAAAAUGAG